GGGUUGUGAGGUUAAGCGACUAAGCGUACACGGUGGAUGCCCUGGCAGUCAGAGGCGAUGAAGGACGUGCUAAUCUGCGAAAAGCGUCGGUAAGGUGAUAUGAACCGUUACAGCCGGCGAUGUCCGAAUGGGGAAACCCAGUGCAAUUCGUUGCACUAUCGUUAACUGAAUACAUAGGUUAACGAGGCGAACCGGGGGAACUGAAACAUCUAAGUACCCCGAGGAAAAGAAAUCAACCGAGAUUCCCCCAGUAGCGGCGAGCGAACGGGGAGCAGCCCAGAGUCUGAAUCAGCUUGUGUGUUAGUGGAACGGUCUGGAAAGUCCGACGGUACAGGGUGAUAGUCCCGUACACCAAAAUGCACAGGCUGUGAACUCGAAGAGUAGGGCGGGACACGUGGUAUCCUGUCUGAAUAUGGGGGGACCAUCCUCCAAGGCUAAAUACUCCUGACUGACCGAUAGUGAACCAGUACCGUGAGGGAAAGGCGAAAAGAACCCCGGCGAGGGGAGUGAAAAAGAACCUGAAACCGUGUACGUACAAGCAGUGGGAGCACCUUCGGGUGUGACUGCGUACCUUUUGUAUAAUGGGUCAGCGACUUAUAUUCUGUAGCAAGGUUAACCGUAUAGGGGAGCCGCAGGGAAACCGAGUCUUAACUGGGCGUUAAGUUGCAGGGUAUAGACCCGAAACCCGGUGAUCUAGCCAUGGGCAGGUUGAAGGUUGGGUAACACUAACUGGAGGACCGAACCGACUAAUGUUGAAAAAUUAGCGGAUGACUUGUGGCUGGGGGUGAAAGGCCAAUCAAACCGGGAGAUAGCUGGUUCUCCCCGAAAGCUAUUUAGGUAGCGCCUCGUGAACUCAUCUUCGGGGUAGAGCACUGUUUCGGCUAGGGGGUCAUCCCGACUUACCAACCCGAUGCAAACUACGAAUACCGAAGAAUGUUAUCACGGGAGACACACGGCGGGUGCUAACGUCCGUCGUGAAGAGGGAAACAACCCAGACCGCCAGCUAAGGUCCCAAAGUCAUGGUUAAGUGGGAAACGAUGUGGGAAGGCACAGACAGCCAGGAUGUUGGCUUAGAAGCAGCCAUCAUUUAAAGAAAGCGUAAUAGCUCACUGGUCGAGUCGGCCUGCGCGGAAGAUGUAACGGGGCUAAACCAUGCACCGAAGCUGCGGCAGCGACACUAUGUGUUGUUGGGUAGGGGAGCGUUCUGUAAGCCUGCGAAGGUGUGCUGUGAGGCAUGCUGGAGGUAUCAGAAGUGCGAAUGCUGACAUAAGUAACGAUAAAGCGGGUGAAAAGCCCGCUCGCCGGAAGACCAAGGGUUCCUGUCCAACGUUAAUCGGGGCAGGGUGAGUCGACCCCUAAGGCGAGGCCGAAAGGCGUAGUCGAUGGGAAACAGGUUAAUAUUCCUGUACUUGGUGUUACUGCGAAGGGGGACGGAGAAGGCUAUGUUAGCCGGGCGACGGUUGUCCCGGUUUAAGCAUGUAGGCUGGUUGUCCAGGCAAAUCCGGAUAAUCAAGGCUGAGGUGUGAUGACGAGGCACUACGGUGCUGAAGUAACAAAUGCCCUGCUUCCAGGAAAAGCCUCUAAGCAUCAGGUAACAUUAAAUCGUACCCCAAACCGACACAGGUGGUCAGGUAGAGAAUACCAAGGCGCUUGAGAGAACUCGGGUGAAGGAACUAGGCAAAAUGGUGCCGUAACUUCGGGAGAAGGCACGCUGGUGUGUAGGUGAAGUCCCUGCGGAUGGAGCUGAGACCAGUCGAAGAUACCAGCUGGCUGCAACUGUUUAUUAAAAACACAGCACUGUGCAAACACGAAAGUGGACGUAUACGGUGUGACGCCUGCCCGGUGCCGGAAGGUUAAUUGAUGGGGUUAUCCGUAAGGAGAAGCUCUUGAUCGAAGCCCCGGUAAACGGCGGCCGUAACUAUAACGGUCCUAAGGUAGCGAAAUUCCUUGUCGGGUAAGUUCCGACCUGCACGAAUGGCGUAAUGAUGGCCAGGCUGUCUCCACCCGAGACUCAGUGAAAUUGAACUCGCUGUGAAGAUGCAGUGUACCCGCGGCAAGACGGAAAGACCCCGUGAACCUUUACUAUAGCUUGACACUGAACAUUGAGCCUUGAUGUGUAGGAUAGGUGGGAGGCUUUGAAGCGUGGACGCCAGUCUGCGUGGAGCCAACCUUGAAAUACCACCCUUUAAUGUUUGAUGUUCUAACGUUGGCCCCUUAUCGGGGUUGCGGACAGUGUCUGGUGGGUAGUUUGACUGGGGCGGUCUCCUCCCAAAGCGUAACGGAGGAGCACGAAGGUUAGCUAAUCCUGGUCGGACAUCAGGAGGUUAGUGCAAUGGCAUAAGCUAGCUUGACUGCGAGCGUGACGGCGCGAGCAGGUGCGAAAGCAGGUCAUAGUGAUCCGGUGGUUCUGAAUGGAAGGGCCAUCGCUCAACGGAUAAAAGGUACUCCGGGGAUAACAGGCUGAUACCGCCCAAGAGUUCAUAUCGACGGCGGUGUUUGGCACCUCGAUGUCGGCUCAUCACAUCCUGGGGCUGAAGUAGGUCCCAAGGGUAUGGCUGUUCGCCAUUUAAAGUGGUACGCGAGCUGGGUUUAGAACGUCGUGAGACAGUUCGGUCCCUAUCUGCCGUGGGCGCUGGAGAAUUGAGGGGGGCUGCUCCUAGUACGAGAGGACCGGAGUGGACGCAUCACUGGUGUUCGGGUUGUCAUGCCAAUGGCACUGCCCGGUAGCUAAAUGCGGAAGAGAUAAGUGCUGAAAGCAUCUAAGCACGAAACUUGCCCCGAGAUGAGUUCUCCCUGAGACUUUAAGUCUCCUGAAGGAACGUUGAAGACGACGACGUUGAUAGGCCGGGUGUGUAAGCGCAGCGAUGCGUUGAGCUAACCGGUACUAAUGAACCGUGAGGCUUAACCUUACAACGCCGAAG
rnacentral:rRNA from 1 species